ensembl:snRNA U6 U6 spliceosomal RNA
AUGCUCACCUCAGCAGCACAUAUACUAAAGUUGGAACGAUACAGAAAAGAUUAACAUGGACCCUGAGCAAGAAUGACACACACAUUUGUGAAGCGUUCCAUAUUUUU